rnacentral:rRNA from 1 species
GACGAACGCUGGCGGCGUGCUUAACACAUGCAAGUCACGGGGGCCCGCAAGGGCAACCGGCGAACGGGUGCGUAACACGUGAACAACCUGCCCUCGUGUGGGGGAUAGCCGGGCUAACGCCCGGGUAAUACCGCAUACGUUCCCUUGGAGGAUUCUCUGGGGGAGGAAAGCUCCGGCGCACGGGGAGGGGUUCGCGGCCUAUCAGCUAGUUGGCGGGGUAAUGGCCCACCAAGGCGACGACGGGUAGCUGGUCUGAGAGGAUGGCCAGCCACAUUGGGACUGAGAGACGGCCCAGACUCCUACGGGAGGCAGCAGUGGGGAAUCUUGCGCAAUGGCCGAAAGGCUGACGCAGCGACGCCGCGUGUGGGAUGAAGCAUUUCGGUGUGUAAACCACUGUUGCCCGGGACGAACAGCUCUUUCGAGGAGCCUGACGGUACCGGGUGAGGAAGCACC